rnacentral:misc_RNA from 1 species
GCAUAGACAGCCUAGCAGCCGCCGCGGGGGCGGUCCUGUUUCUGUGGGGUCAAUCUCUGUGACGGACCGUCUGUGUGUAAUCUGUGAACAUAUUUCUGUGAACAUUGAAUCGGUGGCGGAUCAUUUGAUGGAUACAGACGUUAUUGUUUAUUGUGGUAUUAUUACAAGUGAAGAGUUAUGUAACUUCCAUGGUGUGAGAAUGUUGAGUAUUUACAUUAUGAAUCACUACUUGUAUAAAAUUCAUAUCUAGGUUGAGAUAACUCGAAGUACUUGAUGAACGCGAGCAUUGUAUUAUAUACUUAAGUUACAAGGAGACAUUGAUGGUUUUAUACGAUCUCGUGUGAAUUGAUAAAACUUAGAGAAAUUUAUGCAUAUGAGUCAAACAUAUUUUAGCAUGUCAAAUUCUAUUCCAUAUUCAUUUUAUUUUCGCUAAUUUUUUUAACAAGCUAUAAUGCAGUAUCUUUUAUACAAAUGAUAAACCUCAAAUAUUUAACUGUAUAAAGUCAAUAAAAAUGUUAUUAGUUUG